rnacentral:rRNA from 1 species
UACGAAGGGGGGCUAGCGUUGUUCGGAAUUACUGGGCGUAAAGCGCACGUAGGCGGAUAUUUAAGUCAGGGGUGAAAUCCCGGGGCUCAACCCCGGAACUGCCUUUGAUACUGGGUAUCUCGAGUCCGAGAGAGGUGAGUGGAAUUCCGAGUGUAGAGGUGAAAUUCGUAGAUAUUCGGAGGAACACCAGUGGCGAAGGCGGCUCACUGGCUCGGUACUGACGCUGAGGUGCGAAAGCGUGGGGAGCAAACAGGG